UACAGAGGGUGCGAGCGUUGUCCGGAAUUAUUGGGCGUAAAGAGCUCGUAGGCGGUGUGUCGCGUCGGCCGUGAAAACCUGCAGCUUAACUGUGGGCGUGCGGUCGAUACGGGCAUCACUGGAGUUCGGCAGGGGGAGACUGGAAUUCCUGGUGUAGCGGUGAAAUGCGCAGAUAUCAGGAGGAACACCGGUGGCGAAGGCGGGUCUCUGGGCAGUAACUGACGCUGAGGAGCGAAAGCGUGGGGAGCGAACAGG
rnacentral:rRNA from 1 species